rnacentral:rRNA from 1 species
CCUACGGGAGGCAGCAGUGGGGAAUAUUGGACAAUGGGGGCAACCCUGAUCCAGCCAUGCCGCGUGUGUGAAGAAGGCCCUCGGGUUGUAAAGCACUUUCAGUGAGGAAGAACGCCUGGUGGUUAAUACCCAUCAGGAAAGACAUCACUCACAGAAGAAGCACCGGCUAACUCCGUGCCAGCAGCCGCGGUAAUACGGAGGGUGCGAGCGUUAAUCGGAAUUACUGGGCGUAAAGCGCGCGUAGGUGGCUUGAUAAGCCGGUUGUGAAAGCCCCGGGCUCAACCUGGGAACGGCAUCCGGAACUGUCAAGCUAGAGUGCAGGAGAGGAAGGUAGAAUUCCCGGUGGAGCGGUGAAAUGCGUAGAGAUCGGGAGGAAUACCAGUGGCGAAGGCGGCCUUCUGGACUGACACUGACACUGAGGUGCGAAAGCGUGGGUAGCAAACAGGAUUAGAUACCCUGGUAGUC